CUGCCAUUUUCCUUGAUUUUCUGCAAUGUUCUGUGAAAUACGGGUGCUAGAAUUGUCCAGAAUUCUUUGUACAACGCUGUUGGAAAGCCGUCUGGACCUGGAGCCUUAUUAUUGGGCAUACUUAUCAGGGCUUCCUGGAGUUCACCUAGUGUCAGCGGUGAAUUCAGUGCCAUUGCUUGACUGUCUUGUAAUUUUGGAAGGAUUACAUUAUCAAGAAACUGAUCAGUUUUGUUUUUAGAUGGGUUUAUUUGUGGUGGAUCUCAGCUGCUAUGUGGGCCUUGAGCUCACCUCCCCACAGGACUGGCUUGCAUACACCUACAUGGAAGCUGGAGGGGCAGUGGGGUGCAUAAGGUGGCUCCAACAUGUGUCCAGCUCCAGGGCCUUGCUGUCCCAGCUGAGGUCGUCUCCUACAGCUGCAAAAAGAAAAUGGCUCUUGGCUCGUUCAAUGGGGAUCAAGCUGCCCUUAUUCUUCUCUUCAAG